UACGGAGGGUGCGAGCGUUGUCCGGAAUCAUUGGGCGUAAAGGGCGCGUAGGUGGCCCGGUCAGUUCGUGGUGAAAGCGCGGGCUCAACUCCGCGUCGGCCAUGAAUACUGCUGGGCUUGAGCACUGUAGAGGCAGGCGAAUUCCGGGUGUAGCGGUGGAAUGCGUAGAGAUCCGGAAGAACACCGGUGGCGAAGGCGCCUGCUGGGCAGUAGCUGACACUGAGGCGCGACAGCGUGGGGAGCAAACAGG
rnacentral:rRNA from 1 species